rnacentral:tRNA from 1 species
GCCUGGGUGGCUCAGUGGUUGAGCGUCUGCCUUUAGCCCAGGGCGUGAUCCUGAGUCAUGGGAUCGAGUCCCACAUCAGGUU